UACGUAGGGGGCUAGCGUUGUCCGGAUUUAUUGGGCGUAAAGAGCGUGUAGGCGGCCAGGUAGGUCUGCUGUGAAAACUCGAGGCUUAACCUCGAGAUGUCGGCGGAAACCAUCUGGCUAGAGUCCGGAAGAGGAGAGUGGAAUUCCUGGUGUAGCGGUGAAAUGCGCAGAUAUCAGGAAGAACACCCGUGGCGAAGGCGGCUCUCUGGGACGGUACUGACGCCUGAGACGCGAAAGCGUGGGGAGCGAACAGG
rnacentral:rRNA from 1 species